rnacentral:sRNA from 1 species
UUUUGUUAGGCAGAGUAAAUUAAGAAAAUUAGCAUUGAAUAUUAGUUGUCCGUAAUAGAUAUUUAACUGGAAACUCCGUUUGUGCACUGUAUGCGCACAAUCGCACAAUCGUACGCAAAAACCUACUCAUCCCCAGCCGUACAUUUACUCCUCAAAUGUAACGUAAUGGAAUUUUAUGACGGAUUUUUAUGAAGAACAUCCAGGUUUCUUCUUUUGAUCUGUUGGUGUGAUAUCAAACGUGUGUGUAAUGGUGUGGGAAGGGCGAAACGCAGGAAAGAACAUCAUGAGUAAUACCGAUAUAGACUUGUCGUUGAAAUAACCGCAACGUGGCAAUGAUCCAUCCAACAUGCUGAGACAAUGUUCGGUAUUAGGAGUUGACAUCCCACAUCAAUAAGGCAUAAAACCUUUAUAUAAUUUUAAUAUCCACCCUCAUAGAGUAACAAAUUGCAGCGGGAAUACUUCUCUGAUAUGCAGCGGGGAUACUUCUCUCAAUGGGUGCUAUUCGGUUGAACUUUUAAUUCAAUGAUAAGGAUUUUAACUGCCGAGUCUGUCAAAGGCGGAUAUGCUAACUUCUGCUCCACAGUGGCCUCCACCUCAUCUGAUGUACUAGUCAUUUCAUAGAAAAAAGUUUGCUGAA